UUUCAUAGUUCAUUCUUGGGGAAUUGAAGGU
rnacentral:piRNA from 1 species